AGAACGAACGCUGGCGGCAUGCCUAAUACAUGCAAGUCGAACGAACUCUUCGGAGUUAGUGGCGCACGGGUGCGUAACGCGUGGGAAUCUGCCCUUGGGUUCGGAAUAACAGUUGGAAACGACUGCUAAUACCGGAUGAUGACGAAAGUCCAAAGAUUUAUCGCCCAGGGAUGAGCCCGCGUAGGAUUAGCUAGUUGGUGAGGUAAAGGCUCACCAAGGCGACGAUCCUUAGCUGGUCUGAGAGGAUGAUCAGCCACACUGGGACUGAGACACGGCCCAGACUCCUACGGGAGGCAGCAGUAGGGAAUAUUGGACAAUGGGCGAAAGCCUGAUCCAGCAAUGCCGCGUGAGUGAUGAAGGCCUUAGGUUGUAAAGCUCUUUACCCGAGAUGAUAAUGACAGUAUCGGAGAAUAAGCCCCGGCUAACUCCGUGCCAGCAGCCGC
rnacentral:rRNA from 1 species